GCGGUGGUUGGCGGCGGGCGGGGAGGGGGCCUCGCGCGGGGGCGGUGUCGCCCUGAGGGCGGAGCGAGGAGCGGCGGCCGCUCGGGAUCCCGAGCUCGGGGCUUCUCGGGCUGGCCCUGAGCAAUGGGUUUACCUUGUUGCCUGCGAAGCCUAAAGGCUUUCCAGUGCGAAGGGAUAUUCAUCGACGUUGUAGCGACUGGGAAGGAGCUCCUUAAUACUUACAAGCUUGGACAGUCCUUCGGGGAGACACGGUCCCUGGUGGUGACUGACGUUCAGUACCCUUAGUUUAUGAAGUAAGGAUCUACCUGGUGGCAACAGAGCCGGUCUAUUUCUUUCAGGCAACAUAUAUGUUGGUCCAUUUUCAUCACGUCCAGGAUUCACCACUGAUGGUGACAGGUCUGGUCUGGCACCUCCACUGACAGCUUCUGCAAGGACUGGGUUCAGUUCUCCAGUGCCCUUUUUGGCUGACACAAGCAGUGCCUGUUUUCUCACACCUUGAGACACUGUGGCAGCGUUCAUCUCAGCUGAGGAUUCACAUUCAUAUCUUUUUUCAGAUCUGGCUGGCAACACAAUGGCUAACCUCAGAUCCUGCAGGUUUUGCUUCACCGUCGCAAAAGGCACCCAGUUCUAGGUGGGUUCACUCCUCACCCAAAGCAAGGUCUGCACUUCAAGAUAGACUGUCCUCAGAUGAAAGAAUUGUACUCACCUUCCUUGUCACAGCAACACAACGGAAACGCUGAUGUGCCCAGGUGCCAGCAGCCUGCCAGGAAACCGGACUUCUCGCUGCUGAGCGGCUCCACUGACACAACAUCUGCAAGCUUCUGGUUUCCCAGGACUAACAGGUUUCAGUUUUCCUGAUGUGGUUCCGAGGUGCACUGCCUUAGUUUGUAGUCACUGUAGGACCUCCCUUAAAUCCUCUCUGAUGAUC